GUGAGGAAUAUUGGUCAAUGGACGAGAGUCUGAACCAGCCAAGUAGCGUGAAGGAUGACUGCCCUAUGGGUUGUAAACUUCUUUUAUAAGGGAAUAAAGUGAGGGACGUGUCCCUUUUUGUAUGUACCUUAUGAAUAAGGAUCGGCUAACUCCGUGCCAGCAGCCGCGGUAAUACGGAGGAUCCAAGCGUUAUCCGGCUUUAUUGGGUUUAAAGGGAGCGUAGGUUGACAUAUAAGUCAGCUGUGAAAGUUUACGGCUCAACCGUGAAAUUGCAGUUGAUACUGUAUGUCUUGAGUGUACAAGAGGUGGGCGGAAUUCGUGGUGUAGCGGUGAAAUGCUUAGAUAUCACGAAGAACUCCAAUUGCGAAGGCAGCUCACUGGGGUACAACUGACACUGAGGCUCGAAAGUGUGGGUAUCAAACAGGAUUAGAUACCCGAGUAGUCC
rnacentral:rRNA from 1 species